rnacentral:rRNA from 1 species
GAGUUUGAUCGUGGCUCAGAUUGAACGCUGGCGGCAGGCCUAACACAUGCAAGUCGAGCGGUAGAGAGAAGCUUGCUUCUCUUGAGAGCGGCGGACGGGUGAGUAAUGCCUAGGAAUCUGCCUGGUAGUGGGGGAUAACGCUCGGAAACGGACGCUAAUACCGCAUACGUCCUACGGGAGAAAGCAGGGGACCUUCGGGCCUUGCGCUAUCAGAUGAGCCUAGGUCGGAUUAGCUAGUUGGUGAGGUAAUGGCUCACCAAAGGCGACGAUCCGUAACUGGUCUGAGAGGAUGAUCAGUCACACUGGAACUGAGACACGGUCCAGACUCCUACGGGAGGCAGCAGUGGGGAAUAUUGGACAAUGGGCGAAAGCCUGAUCCAGCCAUGCCGCGUGUGUGAAGAAGGUCUUCGGAUUGUAAAGCACUUUAAGUUGGGAGGAAGGGCAGUAAAUUAAUACUUUAGCUGUUUUGACGUUACCGACAGAAUAAGCACCGGCUAACUCUGUGCCAGCAC